rnacentral:rRNA from 1 species
CCUACGGGAGGCAGCAGUGAGGAAUAUUGGUCAAUGGGGGGAACCCUGAUCCAGCGACGCCGCGUGAGUGAAGAAGUACUUCGGUAUGUAAAGCUCUAUCAGCAGGGAAGAAAAUGAUGGUACCUGUCUAAGAAGCCCCGGCUAACUACGUGCCAGCAGCCGCGGUCAUACGUAGGGCGCAAGCGUUAUCCGGAUUUACUGGGUGGAAAGGGAGCCGAGACGGUGCAGCAAGUAAGAUGUGAAAGGUCGGGGUCCAACCCCGGGACUGCAUUUGAAACUGUUGAACUGGAGUACAGGAGAGGUAAGCGGAAUGCCUGGUGUAGCGGUGAAAUGCGUAGAUAUUAGGAGGAACACCAGUGGCGAAGGCGGCUUACUGGACGGUAACUGACGUUGAGGCGCGAAAGCGUGGGGAGCAAACAGGAUUAGAUACCCGUGUAGUC